GAUGAACGCUGGCGGCGUGCCUAAUACAUGCAAGUCGAACGAAACUUCUUUAUCACCGAGUGCUUGCACUCACCGAUAAAGAGUUGAGUGGCGAACGGGUGAGUAACACGUGGGCAACCUGCCCAAAAGAGGGGGAUAACACUUGGAAACAGGUGCUAAUACCGCAUAACCAUAGUUACCGCAUGGUAACUAUGUAAAAGGUGGCUAUACUACCGCUUUUGGAUGGGCCCGCGGCGCAUUAGCUAGUUGGUAGGGUAAAGGCUUACCAAGGCAAUGAUGCGUAGCCGAAUUGAGAGGUUGAUCGGCCACAUUGGGACUGAGACACGGCCCAAACUCCUACGGGAGGCAGCAGUAGGGAAUCUUCCACAAUGGGCGAAAGCCUGAUGGAGCAACGCCGCGUGGGUGAAGAAGGUCUUCGGAUCGUAAAACCCUGUUGUUAGAGAAGAAAGUGCGUGAGAGUAACUGUUCACGUUUCGACGGUAUCUAACCAGAAAGCCACUGCUAACUACG
rnacentral:rRNA from 1 species